rnacentral:rRNA from 1 species
GUUGUUUUCUCGAAAAUCAAUUAAAAAGAGUUGGAUUUUGUGUUGUAUUGACCUUAACAGCUUGCUUCACUCUUUUCCUGCUUUUUUUAAUGCACUUUUCGUUUAACAAGUCAACAUCAGUUUCUUUUGUUGUAAAAGGGUCAUUGGAAGGUGGCUUUCUCUUCGGAGAAAGUGUUUAUAGCCUUUGAUCUCUGCAAUCGGAGAGACUGAGGUCUGCAGCGUAGAUCCUUCGGGGUUAGAUACAUUUGUGCUAAGCUACAGCUUUUCAUAGACAACUUGUUGACUAUGUUUAGUCUUGUGACUUACCCGCUUAUGCUAUUUUACCUAC